rnacentral:lncRNA from 1 species
GUGGGUGCUACAUGAUUGGAGUGAUGAUGACUGUGUAAAGAUACUGAAAUGCUGCAAGAAGGCUAUUCCAUCCAAAGAAGAAGGGGGGAAGGUGAUUAUUAUUGACAUGGUAGUCGACUUGGAUAUUGGCUUUCCUGAGUUGGGCGAAACACAGCUACUCUUUGACCUAGAGAUGAUGGUCCAAACCACAGGUGAGGAAAGGAAUGAAUGUGAAUGGAAAAAAAUUUUCAUGGAUGCAGGUUUUACCGAUUACAAAAUCAUACCAGCAUUAGGCUUGCGAUCGAUUAUCGAGGUUUAUCAUUGACUACUGAAUAGAUAAGGAAAACCAUCUAUACUAGUGGCCAUGAAUUGAUCAGUUUGCUGCUUCCUUCCAAUUUAAUUUUAGAUCUUCAUUAUGUAUAUUGCAUUGGAUGUCUUAUGGUGUUCUUAUUGUUUGUAGUAGAAUUACUAUGAUGUUUGUAUUGGUCUUCGUUGAGUUUGUGAUUUGUCUGCCGCAUUUAAGUUGAUUGAGCUAAAAUAAUAGAAGGUACUUCUUUAGUUAUCUCUUUACAGAUGUUUGCCAUGCGUUAAUGGUUGAAAUCUUUUUAGAUAAUACUAAUCUGGACUCAUUAUGUCUAAUGAAAAGAAAAAAAGACAGAGUAAAUUACAAAACCCCCCGAGGUUUGUGUUUAUUACAGUUCGACCUGCUUGGUUUCAAAACCGACACUUACCCCCCUUGAAAUAUAAUGGUAUUAUUCAAACUAUUUCAGAAAUAUAAAAUGUCUAAUUUAUCAUUCAUUAUAAAAAAGUAUCCAUCCAAACCCCUGUACUUGCCUUGAACUACUAUGGCUUCAUAUAAGAGCAAAGAGAGGAGGGAGAUAGAGAAAAAGCCGACGAGAGAGAGAGAUGAUCUCUUAUCUUUAAUUCAGAGCUACAGAAAGUUCUUCUGAAAAGAAAAGCUCGUAGAGACACACCAGGCCACAAGAAAGAGAGAGCUUUGAAGGGCGGGUACACUCUCCUUCCCCCUCUUCUCCACUACAAUAAGCUUGGGCUGUAAGGAUAUAGGUUUGAAGGAGCAAAGAGGAAAAUGCGCGAAAAAGUUAGAAAGAGAGAAAGACUUUCAAGUGGAUUAUGAGAUCCCAAAGACCCAACAAUCUAUUUUUCUAUUUUUUUUUUCACUUUUGAUACAUCUUCCUCCCUUUCAAAAUAACCCACCUAACUACAAUGCCUGCUGCACCGAGAACCAGAUUGGCUCCACCCUAUCCACCGGCCAUGCCACCAUCACCAUCACCUCUUCCAGCGCUCACUUUUACAUCUAUGGCAUCAGUGGCCACUGCUCCGUCGGUCAGAAGCUGGCCAUCACCGUUGCCUUAAGAAAGUUAUCGCCAUCGCUGAUGAUAGCAAGGGGGGAAGGUGGCAGAGGAGGGCGCCCAUGAUGCAGACAGAGAAGAGGCUGAUGGUGGGGAAUGGUGAGGUCGCCCAUAAUGGCAGUGAUGGCGAGUGAUGGCGAGGUGGUGGAGGAGGGCACCCAUGACACAGAUGGAGAAGAGGCCGAUAGCAUGGAAGGAGAGGUGGAGAACUGUGAGGUUGCGUUUGAUGGUGGUGGUCCAGGAUAAGUGGGUGUCGACAAUGACAGCAUCGGAAUGGUGGAGGCUGAGGAGGUAGUAGUGGUCGGGGCUAGUGAGAAGAGAAGUGACAUCGAUUAUGUUGCAUUCGGAGGAGAAAGGGCGCUAAUGUUCUUGAUGCUGGGGGGGAGGCCGGAGGCAGCGGGAGAGAAGGGGUAGAGGAGGCUGAGGAGAGGGAGACCGAUAGCAAUGACACGAUCGACGAUGAGCUGUAUGAAGGUGGCAUUGGUUGGGGUGAGGAGGACGGUGGAGUCGACGCUGCUGGUGGUGAAAAGUUGGGCAAUGUUGAUCAAGAGGAUCAUGUGGCCCAUCGCAAAGAAGGGGAUCAUGUCGGCAUAGAUGGCACUGGGCCCGCAGAAGAAAUCAUAGAGGUGGAUGUGGUUGGUGGCAUGCUCGUUCCUCAUCUUGAGCAGGCUGGGCCGAGCGUAAAGGAAAAAGGAAGGGCUGGCGACGGUGCUAAGGGCGGAAAAGAUGGAAAGUGCCGAGGAGGUGAAGAAAGUUGGGAGAAUUUUUUUUUAAUAUUUUGUUCGAUGAUAUUUUGAUCUUUUUAAAAAUCUAUAAUGAUUUGGUAAUGAGAUUCCCAUUAACACUAAUGAACUGUCUAACAGCAUGAGCUAGAUUGUAGGGUUGACUAAAAUAUUAAGGGUAUAACUAUAGGUUUUGAAAACUACUGGGUAUACCUGCAUUUUCGACCUAUUCUCAGGGGGUUUUUGUAAUUUAUUCAAAGACAAAAGACAUCUUAACUAUGAAUUGACAAGUUGAAAUCAAUUAAAUGCAUUUAAUCAUGGGAAACUUAUAAAGGCCCAUGUUAAGAUAAAUGCCACCAACAUCCAACAUCAUUAUUGUAUUCUAUACCAGAAAAUUCAAGCUUUUCCUAGAAUCCUAGAGAUGAGAAGUUGAAAUAUUAUGCACUUCACAUCAAGAGAGAAAAUACAUGCCUUAGAUUGCUUAAAAUAAAUUUAAUAUAUUUGGUUAAAAGAACAUUAUGAAAUAACAUUUAAUAUUUAUAGUAUAAAUAACUAAUUAAUCAAUGGGAUGGUACUCAAAUUACUAUAUAUUUAUUUUAUUAUAAAGAAAUAUAUAUUAAAAAAAGAGGCAAUUCAGUAGAAUUUAUAAAAUAUUGAUUCGAUCCAGAAGAAAAAAGAUUUUUCUCAAUCCGUUCAGCUCGAAUCUCACUAAGAAAAAGAUAGAAGAAGAGAAUUUUUGAAUCUCUAGAUUGCUCAUCCUCCUCACCAGAUGGAGGUUCAUGAUCUUAAAAUAUUGAAGAUAGCUUCGCAAUAAGAGUUGGCACUGCUUUUGCUGAAGGAACCGUCAAUCUGAAAAUAAUCUUGAUGAUUUGGUAAUCUUCAUCUCUAGUUGUGUAAGAUGUCUCUUUAUCUCACCAUCUAUCGAGGAAGAGCUAACAGCCAUACUCAUUUUGAUCUUUCAAUAUACUUGAAGUACGGAUUGCUCUUGUCUUGAUUGCUUAUACUGCUCAUGCAUUCGGACCAUGCACUAAAAGCCGUCAACAGAUAUAGAGGACCAAUGCUCUCAUACCAACUUGAUUAAAUCAAGAAGAAGAAAGAUUUUCUUCAAUUCACUCAACUUAAUCUCACAAAAAAAAAAGAUAGAGGAAAAGAAUCUUCCAAAGUAGGGCUUAACUCUAUUUUCUUUCUUAUUUAUUAUUUUUAUUGAUUAAAAAUGAGGUACAUAUCUCAUAUUUAAAAAAUGAGAUCCGUCCUUAUACAAAUAGGUCAUAUUCUUUUGCUAGUUCUAAUGAGAUUUUUUUACCUAAAAUAUACAUGUUUGGUAGAAAUAAUUUAAAAAAAUUUAAAACUUUUUAAAAGAUAAAUCUCGACUUUUAUAUUAAUGCUACAUUCUGUCAUUUCAUCGAAUUUUUUUUGGAUUUGAAGCUACACUCAAUCAAAAUCUUAACCAAAAGAAAAUUUUUUAGGUUGACUAGCUAGUUUCAUCACCCAAAUGAAGGAAUUUCAGUCUAAUCAUUGAGACGUCACUUUUCUGGUGGGAUGGCACUACAUCAUAGAUCUAAAAAAACUAUCUAAUUAAAAAAAGAAUCAUUGAAAUUGCAUGUCGUAUGUCCAAAUUAAGAUUUUUGAAAGUGUGAGUUAUAAAUUAAUUUUUUAAUAUGAUAGAUUUUAUUUCUAGAUUAUUUAGUUCUAUUUAUAAUAAUUAAAAUAAUUUAUAUCAAAUUUAAUGGUUCUCCCAAAUUAAUUAUAAUAUUAUUGGGCUAUAUGGACAUGGGUGACAGCUGAUGUCGGAGUAGCAUGCCAAAUGACCACUCUUCUUUGGCAAAUUCCGAGGCCUGACACGAAGCUUAAUUACCCAAACCUGGCAAAACCUUUCUUGGCUUGUCAAUCAUCUAUUCUCACUCGUAUCCAAGAGAGGAAUGCGAAGCUACUCCAUUGUUCAGAUCAGCUCACUGAAUUUGAUGUUUGGCAGCUGAACUGUGAUGCUUGUAAUAACAUAACUAUGGUUUUUUUUUUAAAAUUUUAUUUUUUAUUUUUUAAAAUAUUCUUUUUUCGAUCUUAUUUNNNNNNNNNNNNNNNNNNNNNNNNNNNNNNNNNNNNNNNNNNNNNNNNNNNNNNNNNNNNNNNNNNNNNNNNNNNNNNNNNNNNNNNNNNNNNNNNNNNNNNNNNNNNNNNNNNNNNNNNNNNNNNNNNNNNNNNNNNNNNNNNNNNNNNNNNNNNNNNNNNNNNNNNNNNNNNNNNNNNNNNNNNNNNNNNNNNNNNNNNNNNNNNNNNNGUAGUAUAGUAGUAUAUAUAUAUAUAUAUAUAUAUAUAUAUAUAUAUAUAUAUAUAUAUAUUUUUGGCAAACAGAGGGUAGAGGAUGGGGGUGUUUUUAUGUUCAUACCGACGGCCGUCGGGAUCUGGGGAGAGGGGAGCGGAGGUGGUGGUCACAUAGAAAUAGAAGUAGAUGAUGGGUACGGCACGGACAAAGACGAGGUGGGGCUGCGGUGGAUACCUCAUGAGGAGAGAGAGAGGUUGUGGGAUGGGACCGUGGCAGAAUAGGUAUGGAUCCUACGGUAGUCGGUGCAAAGGACAGUGGCAGGGUGGGACCACGAGUGGCGCACUAGAGAGGGGUAGGUGUGGGUCGGCUGCCGGCAGUGGAAGGUCAGUCGGGAGAGAUAAGAGGAAGGAAAAGAAGAAAUGAGGAAAAAAAAGAAAUAAAAAUAAAUAAAAAUAAAAAUAAACUUCAAAAAAAUAAAAAUAGAAAUAAUAAUAAUAAUAAUAAUAUAUUAAUUUUAGAAAAUAAAUUAAAAAAAUUAUUAUAGUUGAUUAUUGAGAAAAUUAAUCUUUAGAAAAUAAUAGAAAUUAAUAUUUUGUUAUUAUUUUCUUAAAAUUAUUUUUUAAAAAUAAUAUUUUGUUAUUAUUUUAAAAAUAAUAAUUAAUAUAAAUAAUUAAAUAAUUAAAAAUAUUUAAAAUAAUUUUUUUGUAAUGAAAAAUAAAAUUUUAAAAUAAUGAUAAAAAUAAAUUUUUAAAAUAAUUUAAAAUUUAGUAAUAAAAAUUUAAAAUAUAUAUAUUUUUUAAAAAUAAUUUGAAAAAAAAUGAGUAGGUGGGUGCGAAGGAGCGACAGUCGGACGGAAGAGUGGUGGGUGGCACCGGAGGAGGGUGGGUGUUCGGCACGAAGCUGCGAGAGGAGAAGAAAGAAAUAAAAAAAUAAAUUUUUAAAAUAAUAAUAAAAUAGCACCACUGCCCCUUUCGGCACCACCACAGCUCCAUGCCGCCACCACUCCUCAGUGCCCCCCCACAUAUUUUUUAAAAUUAUUAUUUUAAAAUAAUAUUUUAUCAUUAUUUUCAAAAUCUAAUUAUUUUCAUUACAAAAAAUAAUUUAUUUUUAAAUAAUUUAUUUUAUUUUAUUUAUCAUUUUAUUUAUUUUUUUAUUUGUUCUAGUUUUUCUUAUUUUUAAGCAUUUUUUUCAAUAUUAUUUUUUAAAAAUAAUAUUUUAUCAUUAUUUUAAAAAUCUAUUUUUAAUUACGAAAAACCUUCUAAUUUUAAAUAUUUUUUAAUAAUUUAUUAUUAUUAUUAUUUAAUAUAUUAUUUUUAUAAUUAUUUUUUAUUAAUAAAUUAUUAAUUUUAAAAAAUAAUUCUUUUAUUUUUAUGCCCUUCCUAUCCUUUCCCUCCGCACGCCACAACCCCCCAAUCCUCGGACCCUAGUCGUCCGCGCCACCCUCUGCACCAACCUUUGGCCCUCCAGUGAACCCGCACCCUGCGCCCUCUGCAGCAUCCUCCAUCGCCACCCUCACCCACCCUAUCGUGAACAUGCAUCCCACCCCCCGUGGCCCCCGAUGCUACCCUUUGGCCACCCACACCACCGCCAGCCGCCCGCUAUCCCCGGCCACCCGCACUGCCUCCCGACCCCUCAAUGUGUACCCAAUGCGGAGGAGAAAGGAAAUUGCUGCUUGGGCUAACGAUUUCAUGAAAUCAUAGGUCCAAUUGGCAAUUUCACUGAAGUCACCAGUCCGUUCGGCGAUUUCAAUGAAAUCAUCGUUCGGCGAUUUCAGUGAAAUUGCUGGCCCAAGUGACGAUUUUUCUUAAAUCGCUGGCCCAAGUGACGAUUUUUCUUAAAUCAUCGGUCCAAGUGGCAAUUUCAUUGAUAUCGCAUGUUCAAUUGGCGAUUUCAAAAUUUGUCCAUCUCAUCUGGCCAGUUGGGCUCGAGAUGGGCUGAGUUGGUCAUAAAUUUCACGAAUGGAUUGUAGUUUUGAAAAUAAAUCAGAAGAGGUGGUAUUUUUGGAAAUAAAUAAUUAAAAAAAUUAAAAAAAAUCCCAUAACUACUGCUGUUGACACUUCCAACCCAUUUUCCCAGUUGACACUCAAUUACACCCGUGACUUGUUUGCUGAACGAAAAACCUUCUCUUGGUAAGUCGUGGAUAAGUUUAAACAAAAGAAAAUAUAAUCACCAAAAUUCUUUUGCACAGUAAACUAAAGAUAACAAAAUUAAAGGAAUCAAAUUAUCUAUUUAUAUUAAAAAUAUAUAUGAGCAUGCCAUUUAACGUUAAUGGUGUUCGAACAAUGCUUAAGAAUGUAUAAGAGAAAAUAUUCUAUUUUUUAUCAAUUUCUCUUAAGCUAAUAAAUUCGUAUCUACAAUUCCUCUUACUAUAAAUCAAAUAUUCUAUCCUCAUUCAAAAUAGCAAAAUAUCAUUUAUUAGUAUAAUUUUAGGUGAUGACGCGAUUUUAACAGUUGCGCUCGAUAUCUCUGUCAGUCCAAUCAAGAUAAAUUUAUUUGAUCAUGAGUAGACUACGAUAAAAAUAGUUCAAUAACGAUCGAAGGUGAUCAAAUUAGUAAUAUUCAACAAAAAUCAAGAUGAAAGUCAGUAUACUAUUCGAUGAUCAGAGGCCAAUUCAUUAAAAUAACUUUAUUUAAUUAUGAGUACGUAGAUAUAAAAAUUUAAUAAGAAGUAAUAAAGAUUAGAUUUUAUGAUGCUUGAUAAAAACUCGAAUAGUGUGGAUAUAUUGCCUGACUAAUAGAGUGAUUUAAUAAAAAUUAUGGAUAAUUAAAACAAAUAAUAUCUGAUCUAAUCAGGAUGGGUACCAGCAUGCUAUCCAACGACCAAAGAUCAGGAUUUCUUAACCAGGGUCGAUAAAAUGCAUUGAGUGAAGAUGAAAAUUCUAUGUGAGAGAAAUAAUUUAGAGUAAAAAAAUUAUAGAAUGAGAAAUUAGAGAGAGAAAGAAAAAAAAAAAAAGAGGGAGAAACUCUCUCCUCUUUUCUUUUCCCUUUCGCUUUUUUUUUCUCUCUUUUUUUUCUUUCUUUUCUUCCCUUUCUUCUUCCCCUUUUCUCGGCAAAACAGGGGACUACCUCUCCCUCCUUCUCGAAUCAAGGGAACCUCUGCCCACGGCGAUGGCUAUGGCCGGAGGACUGGCAAUAGAAGGCCACCAAACGGUGGCCGCCUGCUAGAAGCAAGGUGGCCGAAAAAAGGAAAUCAACAAAAACAAAACCGGCUAUCCUAGGAACAGGGGGAAGCAACAAAACAUUGUAGUUUUCGCUCAACCGAGCGAUUAUAUGGCGAUAUAUCGAUUGAUAAUGGGAGCCAAAGAGCCGAGGGGGGUGGGGAAGCAAGAUAAUCAAGAAUCUCUUAUCUUGGCUCCGGCAAGAUUUUAAGAUGAGAUUGUGAAUCGGCAUGGCAGCACUUGGAAGGAAGAAGAGUAAGAAACUCCGGCUGAUCAACGAUGAUCUUCCAAAGGGCCUUGAGGAAGAAGCCCAAGCCCUAAAUAGAUGGCUGAUUGGAGGAGAAAAGAGGCCAAAAAAAGGCCGACUCCCAUCAUAAUUUGGAGUCGGAGUCGAAGGAGAAAGGAAGACUCCGAUGUUGCUCUUUUGGGCCAUCUCCUAGUGGCUGAUUCUGCUACCUGGGCCGGUCAAAGUAACAAGCCCAAACUUCAUUUGAUCCACUGGGAUGGGUCAUUACAACUUGGCACAAAAACUUACAGUAGUUUGUUGAAGGAAAAUUUCUUUGUGGCCGUGGGCCCAUAUAGAGUGGUAACCGACAUGAAUCUUGCUCGUUGGUGAUGUGGCCUUGGGAUACAUAAGGAAUUCAUACAUAGAUUUUAUCUACCAUAUGUAAUAUAGAUAAAAUUAAUAAAAUAAUAUCAUAUCAAUAUUUUGAAUUAAAAAAUUUUAUAAUUAUCUCAAUAUGUAGGUAAAAUCAAUAAAAUAAUAUCACAUCAAUAUUUUAAAUUAAAAAAUACUGCAAUCAUCUCAAUAGCAAUAUAUAUGUUGCAAGGCAGUUAAGCAGCCAUAUAUUUGGUUGUAAUUUUUUUUAUUUAAAAUAUUAAUAGGAUAUUUUUUAUUAAUUUUAUCUAUAGUAUAUACAGUACAUUAAAUUUAUAUAAAAAUUUCGUAUGAUAUACGAUGUAAUUACUCCAUCACCUUAAACGUUAAUUUCAUUGCAUGAUUGCAUUGGGCUCCACCUGUCUGGAUGCUAUCAGCACGUCACGUAUGACAUGGUGCUGAAAGGGACUCGUGCGCCAUCCAAGGCGCGCACGUCCAAGAACAAAAUAUUUGGAUGCCCCACCUCCUCGCAACACCAGCACGGGCAGCAAGAGUCCGCACGCUUUCUCCGCCCUCGCGAGUCACCACUCGCCACCUAUUUUUCUAAUUUUUUUCUUUUCUUCGUUGUGUUUUGUGAGGGAGAGAACGGUAGCACUCGACCAUUCACCCAGUUGCGGAAGCCCUAGCUGGGGGUCUUCCAAUCAGAGUCGAUCCUAACAUGUUUUAGACCUGAAAUAAAUGAAAAAAAAAUGAGAUCUUCUCUAUUAAAAAUUAACAUACUUUAAAUAUUAAUUAUCAUUAAAAAAUUAAUCUACAUGCAAUAAUUUACUAUAGAUAUAUUCGUUAAGCAGCAUGUAAAACUCAUCAUUAAUCUAUAUAAUUAUUGUUCUUGUUAUAAUAUUGUAGAAAACCAUCCUUACACCCAAUUGGAACAUCAAUGCAAGGCCUGGGGCCUGGGGCGGUCUCUCAGUUCGACCUACCCCAAGGCCAGCCCUGCUUCCAGUAGGGUCCGUCCAAUCAAAGGUCUUGUCGGAAACUAUGAUCCAUAGUAAUAGUAAAUUAGUAGAGAAGAAAACAACACUUAGAACAAAAUAUUUGGUUGGCCCGCUUCCACACAACACCAGCACGAGUAGCACGAGUCCACACCCUUUCCCAGCCCUCGCGAGACACCGUUCACCACCUACUUUGCUAUUUUUUUUUCUUUUCUUGGUUGUGUUUUGGGAGGGAGAGAACUGUAGCACUUGACCAUUCACCCAGUUGCGGUAGCCCGAGGGGGCUUCCAACGGGGUCCGUCCAAUCCAAGGUCCUGUAGGCAACUAUAAAUCCAUAGCAAAUUAGUAGAGAAGAAAACUACAGUGAUGACACAGGUGGGUCCCGAAUACGUACGAUCCCCAUCUGCACAUGCCAUGCGUGACGUACGUGCUGAAAGCACUUGCAGGUAGGUGGAGCCCUGUACAGUUAUGCAAUAAUAAAACUAAUGUUAGAAGAUGGUCUGAGAAGAAGUUUUCGUCCCAUUUCCAUAAUAAGUAGGCAAAAUCAUUUCCAACUCUUAAAAAUUGCAUCCAAUUUAAUUAAAUACUAACAAACUGAUGUUAAGAUGCCCGUACAAUAUGUUCUAGGGAACAACAUCAUACCGUAUGGAUGAAAUAAAUUGGUGAGAUCCAUCGAAUUAGUGUUAUACAUAAAAGUUAUCAGGCAAAGAUGCAGAUUUUAUCCGCUUCAAAAUCAUACCGGCAUUAGGUUUGCGAUGAGUUAUCGAGGCUUAUCAUUGACCAGUGGAUAAAUAAGUGAAAUCAUCUACUAGCUAGUGGCCAUGAAUUGGUCACUUUCCUGCUUCUUAAUUUCAAAUUUAAUCUUAGCCCUUUAUUAUGUAACACAUCAGAUGUCCUAAUAUUCUCAUCGAUUGUUUGUAGUGAAAUUAUUAUGAUGUCUGUAGCGAUCUUUGUUGAGUUUGUAAUUUAUUUACCACGUUAGGUUGGUUGGUUUUCUCAAAAUAAAAAUAAUAAUAAAAUAUUUUUUUAUAAAAAUAAAAAAAAUUAUUUCUUCACUUGUCUCGAGAGAUAGUUUGGUACACUAUGCAUCGGGAGUUGAAACGUAUUAGUUUGAUCGAAAUAUGUGUAAUAAAAAAAAUAUUUUAACUAUAAAAUUAUUUGUUAAAAUCAAUCAUACGUGUUCAAUACAAAAAAAUUUAUAGAGAUCCGCAUCAAAAAAAAGAUGCCACUGACAUCCAACAUGUUCAGUCUAUUCUCUAUCAGAAAAAUUCAAUUUUUUUCUAAAAUCUUAUGAAUGAUAAGUUAUGGUGAUAGGACAGCUAAUAUUGACAUAGCAUGCAAAACGAUAAAUUGUUGCGAAAGUCAUAAAAUUAUUGUACGUGAUACAUGAAAGUGAUGCAGAAAGAUGCCGAAGCCUCAACCGCUGACGUCAGCAGCAAGAAGGAGCAAUCCAAGCGGACGUUCGGACUAGUGACUUAGACAGCUACAUUUUGGUAGCUUUUGCGGGAGUAAUUUUCAUAAAAAAAAUAAAUCAGUGUCACAUGGAAAAUAAGAGUACGGUUUGCCAGCAACAUGGUUCAUGGCCAAGUAUUUUUUAAGAUUAUAUGGAUAAUAAAAUGGGUGAUUUUAGAAUUUUCAUGUUUUGACCUUUUGUCUUACUUCUUUUCUUAAUAUAAUGAUUUAUUUUUAAAAAAAAGAAAAAAUUUAAUAUUCUUCUUCUUUUAUCAUCUAACUUGAACAAAAAUACUAAAAUGAUUCAAGGAGGCUGUCCCUUCCAACCAAAAGGGAGAACAGAUGAUUAUUAUUAAUAUGGUAGUCAACGUUAAUAUUGGCUGUUCCGAGUUUGCCAAAACACAGUUUUUCUUGGAUACGUACAUGAUGGUCUGUACCAUAGGGAAGUGAAUGAAUGAAUGCGAAUGAAGAAAAAUUUUCACUCAUGCAGGUUUCAGCAGCAAUAAAAUCAUACCAACAUUAGACUUGCAAUUAGUUAUUGUGGCUUAUUGUUGACUAGUGGAUAGAGAACAAUAAGUCCACACCACAAGAAAGCAAAGGUAUGCGAAUGGAGAAUAAUUUUCACUAAUGCAAGUUUUACCAACUACAAAAUUAUACCGGCAUUAGGCUUGCGAUUGGUUAUCGAGGCUUAUCAUUGACCAGUGGAUAGAUAAGGGAAGCCAUCUACUAGUACCAUGAAUUGAUUUUUUUACUUCUUCCUUCAAGUUUAAUCUUAGAUCUUCAUUACGCAACACAUCAGAUGUCCUAUAGUGUUCUUAUUGGUUGCUUUUAGUAGAAUUACUGUGAUGUUUGUAUUGGUCUUUGUUGCGGCCAAUCGCCUCGUCAUCCGAUCACCGGAAAACGUGCACCUGCAAAAACGAGAAGUCCACACUGACCGGAGGCGGCUCCGGUGGGGACUCUCCGACGGUCAAGUUAGAGAGGUGACUGGGCAACAGUGAAAUAAAGACAGAGAGCUCGAUUGAAGGAGAGAGAGGGAGAGAGGAGCGAGCAUGUGAUUUUGGAGUCGAGAAGUGGGGGGAGCGGAUCGGAUCCCUUGCACUGUUGCCUUCCCCGAUUUAUAUAGUGGAGCACGGUAUGGCGCCGUCAUUAAUGACGCAGAUAAGUGAGGAAUUGUCAACUCACUGUAGAUUGUCAGAGUCGCCGUGAAAGUGUCAUGUCGCCGUGGGGCUGUCAAAUCAAUAGGGUUGACAAUGUCCUCGGCGGGACAAUACCCCUAGGUGGCCGUGCCGCAUGUUGCUGUCAGGACUGACAGGGUCUGACGGCUGUACGGUGAUCAGAGGAGUCGACCGACCCUAGGUCGGUAACCAGCUGAGUGACAUCGGGCUCCUCCGUUGGUCGGCGAGUUUUAUGUGAGUAGGCCAUCAGACCUUCCGGUUCAGUCGGUCGAAAAAGGUACGCCCGAUAUAUCCUCAGUCGGUCGUGAGCCGAUGAUUGGCCGGCGAUGGCGUCAGUCGGCCGGUCCGACUGUCAAUCGGUCGGUCGGUCCCUCCGGCUGUAAGUCGGUCGGUCGGUUCCUCCGGCCAUCGGUCGGUCGGUCGGUGGGUAUUCCCCAACAGUCUUCAUUGAGUUUGUGAUGUGUUUGUCAUGUUAAGUUAGUUGGCUUUCUCAAAACUAAAAGAAUAAAAAGACUACUUCACUUGCCUCUUUAGAGAUAAUUUGCAAUGUACCAAGAGUUUGAAUCCUUUUAGACAAUGUUAAUCUGGUCGAAUUAUGUGUAACAAAAAAAAUAUAUAUAUAUUUUAACUGUGAAAUGAUAGAUUGAAAUCAAUAACACGUGUUUCAAUAUGAGAAACUUACAGAGACCUACGGUGAGAAUAAUGCCAAUGACGUCCAACCUCUUUAUUCUAUUCCCUAUCAGAAAAAUUCAAACUUUUCCUAGAACCCUAUAAAUGAUAAGUUGAAAUACUAUGUACUUCACAUUAAAAAAAAAAAAUACAAGCCUUUUAUUAUCUAAAGUAAAUUCAUUAAUAUAUUUAGUUAAAUAAGUAUUAUAAGAUAUCAUUUGAUAUUAAUAAUACAAUUAAAUAACUAAUUAAUCAACGGGAUCCUACUCAAAUUACUACAUAUUUAUUUUAUUAUAAGUAAUAUAUAUUUUAUGUAAAAGAAAAGAAUAAUUCAUCAGAAUUUGUAAAUUAUAUUUUCAUAGAGCUCUGUGGUGAUAGGGACGGCUUAUGUUGACUUAGGAUGCAAAAUGACAAAUCUAGAAAAGUCUCUUUAGCUAAAUCCGAGAACGCAGGUCGCUGGGAUGUCGGCAAAAUGAAAUUAACGUUUCAUUGCAUAAUAAGUGGGUAAAAUCGUUGGCGACAAAGUGAUUACUAAGGUGCCCAAUCAAUACAUUGCAUAGAAAUACAUCUUGUCAUGGGUGUCCACUUCGUGAUGCCCACGGGUGAAAUGCUGGACCACCUUUUCCUUCAAUGGGACUUCUCAAAAGCAUUCUGGACAAAUAGUCUAUUCAAUUUCAAUGUCCCAACAUUUCUUACCUCAUUCUCUGGAUUAUGGGAUUUUUAGAGACAUCUUCAACCCAUUGAAAACUGUCAACCGGCAUUUGAAUUCUUAAUUACCUCAGCUGUCUGGUGCCUCUGGAAAAAACGAAACGGCAAGAUCUUACGUUUUGAAGCAACCAUGCCCCCCGGAAUGGCAAGACAAACAAUCCUCAAUUUCCAAAAUUGGGUUCCGGCCGAUUGUCUCCCACCCAAACAGCUAGCAAUUGGUUGCCUAACUUCCCUAAGAAAGGCAGCUGCUAGACUCGCAAUCUUAUUGUGUUUGAAGGUUGUCUUCGAAACCUCAUCCUGCAGCUGCUAGACUCCACCUUUAGUGUUUUGUACCACUCCCCGCUCACGGGCCCGCUCUUUCUCUGAUUUGACACCCCCAUACAAAGCCGGGUUUCUAAUACCCGUAACUCAUUUCUUCCUCGCAUGUGACUGGAUGCUACAUCCGGUCUGUCACAUCAUGUACUAAGUAAAAAGAACAUAGCACAAUAAAAUAAAUCCUUGAGGGAAGUCCCUUGCUUCCUCCUGAAUUCUCAAAAAAAAAAAAAAAAAAAACAUCUUGUCAUGGAGACCGGAGGAAUUGGUGAAAGUCAUGGAAUUAUUAUACGUGAUACAUGAAAGUCAUGCAGAAGAAUACUGUAGCUUUAACCGCUGACCUCAGCAGCAAGAAGGAGCAACCCAAAUGGCCGUUCGGCCUCUAAUUCCACCACCAUGGAUGUGCAAUCUUGGGGUAUCGGCAGCUCCGUGAGCUCGGCUGUAUCUACUUCUCGGCUUGUGUUUUGGAUACCCUCAUCUUGCCCCAUGGUGAAAAUUAAUUUUGAUUCUUCCUUGUCCUCCAUAGCUACUGGCCUUGGCUACCUCAUUAGAGAUCACCACGGAAGUGAUAUAUUUGCUGGGUCUUCCCGAUCUUAUGCAACCUCUGCUUUAGAGGCUGAGCUGCAGGCGGCAUGGAGAAGCCUCUCAAUUUCUACUCACCAGCUUGGAUUCAAACGUAUCUGUUUGGAUGGGGAUUCUUUUGUUGUUGUUCAGUGGAUUCAUCAGGUUGCUAGAACUGAAUAUUCCUUGGCUCCCCUUCACCUGGUUCAUUCUCUUCUCCUGGACAUCUAGAACAGUAUAUCCUCCUUAGAUUAUUUCUCUGUUUCCCAUGUGCCGCGGGAAGGUAAUCAACAGGCGGAUGGGUUAGCUCAGCUGCUUGUUAAUUCAUCCUUCUGUUCUACUUCAUCUCUCUCUCCCUCCGUUUGUAAUCUUGUUCAGGCUGACAUGUUGGUGUGCAUUACCCUCAGCUGUAAUAUCAUCUAUUUUCUUUGUUUGGACUUUUGCCCCCUAUGUAAAAAAAUAAAAAACAGAGAGAGAGAAAGAGAGAGAGAGAAGAAGAAGGAGGAGGAAGACGUUCCGCCAACUGAUUUAGAUCGCUACAUAUUGGUAGCUUUUUUGCGGGAGUAACUUUCAUAAAAAAUACAAAUCGCUGUCAUAUGGAAAACAAGAGUACGGUUUGCCGGCAUCAUGGUUCAUGGCCACGUAUUUUCCUAGACGAUGUGGAUAAUAAAAUGGGUGGCUUUAAGGUUUCCACGUUGUUCUAAUCUUAUCAUCUAACUUGUAACAAGUGCCGCUAAAAUUCGAAAACUUUAGCGAGUAAAGACCUAUUUAUAUUAGGAGCAAAAUAGCAAUUAGCAUUCCAUAAGAGACUCAGGGCCUGGAAAAUUAAAGAGUGCAUGCGUGAUGGAAUCCUUGGACGGAGAAUGCCAAUCUUUGGAGCUCCUGAAAGCUCAAGCCCAUGCAUGGAACCACAUAUUUAGCUUCAUAAAGUCCAUGUCCCUCAAGUGUGCCGUGGAGCUCGGCAUAGCAGACAUCAUCCAUACCCAUGACAAGCCAAUCUCCCUCACUGAACUAGCCGCUAAACUAUCCAUUCCCCCCACCAAAAACAACGACCUGCGCCGCCUCAUGCGCCUCUUGGUGUUCUCGGGAUUCUUCGCUCGGAAGCGUGAUGGAAACAGUCACGACCACGACGAAGAGUUGUACAUCCCCACCACCAUGUCUGCUCUCCUUGUCAAGGAGAACGAUGCGAACGUCUCCUCCUUCGUUCUCGCAAUUCUCGACCAAACGUUGUUCAACCCAUGGUAUCACCUCAGUAGUUGGUUCAAGCAAGAUAAGGUACCCGCCACUCCCUUUGAGGUAGCACAUGGAAGGGAUGUUUGGGAGGCCAUCAGCCGAAGCCCGGCCUUCAACAGCUUGUGCUACGAGGCGAUGGCAAGCGACUCUCGGUUCGUGGCCAAACUGGUUGUCGAGGAGUGCGGCGAGGUCUUCCGAGGCCUGAGGUCGCUGGUGGAUGUCGGUGGGGGAAAAGGCACGAUGGCCCGCGCCAUCGCGGUGGCCUAUCCACAGGUGAAGUGCACCGUCCUUGACCUGCCUCACGUGGUAGCAAGCCCGGAAGCGAGCGAGGAGGUCCAGCUUGUCGCGGGAGACAUGUUUCAGUAUGUCCCUCCUGCGGAUGCAGUGCUGCUCAAGGUAUACUCCUGGUCUAGUACUUAGUUGUGACUUGAUGGAUAGUAGCUUAGGUGAAGAUUCGGAUGGAGGAUUGAAGGGCCGUAACUUUUAUACAGCUGCCACACCAUAUGUUUAAAAUAAAAAUAAAAAAAGCAACCUAAAACAAUUUUAAACCACUUAUUGUUAUUAAAGAUCUGAAUUUUGGUAUAAUCUGCUUGCAAGCAUGAAUGUUCCCUCUAUUUAUCACAUUUGGAUUUUAUUCUUAGAUGGCCUUUAGAGACUCAAAUGGAAUUCACCACAAUGAUACAACAUCAUCAAUGAUCCAAAUCUUAGGGUGAUUUGAUUCCAACUAAUUUAAAAUCACAAUAUUUGGUAGGCCACAUUCAGUGAUUAAAGAUUUCCAUGUAUCCAUAAGUAACCUGUUUGUGAUUCUAUAAAAAAUCCAAGAUUGCUAGCCAUUUAAUACCAAAAUUAUUCUUGAUAUAUUUCAUAAAAAAUAUAUUUAUUAAUCGAUUCUAUAAAUUAUUAAUCCUCCAAAGAUAUAUCAAUUUUUAUUUAGAAUUAAUAUUUUUAUUGAUGCUCAUAAUUAUAUUAUUUUUAAUACUAAUAAUUAUUUUGAUUUGAAGAAAUAAUAUGUCAUAUAAUUUCAUUAAAAAAUAUAAAGUACAAUAAUAUUUUUCUACCAUAAUUUAAAAUUAUCGUUGAAUAAUAUGAUUAACAAUAUAUUACGACAAUUACAAUCAUGUAGGAUCAUUAUGGUAUAACCAAAAAUAGUGAUCUAAUCAUCUCUGCCUUUAUCAUCCUUGAUCUUGGGAUGAUCAUCCCAUACCAAAGCUCCCUUAAUGGUUUUCGACAAAAUUUAAUUCAAUCAACAACCUUAUCAGGGCCUUGGAUCUCUAAUAUAAAAUUAUUUCCAGCAUCAGUUUUUGUGUUCAAGAAAUUUGGACCUUAAUUAAGCUAAUUAAGCUUUUUCAGAAAAUUUCAAGUCUCAUAAUCAAUCUGCUAAUAGUGAUUAAAAAACAAUAGAGAACUAAUUGCAUGCUAAAUCAUGACUUGUAUCAUUACCCCAACUAGCAAGUGCUCUAGAUUUAUGCCAGAUAAGACACCAAAGCUUAAUUACCCAAAGAUAGCAGAUUUUUUUUUUGGCUCGUCGAUUGCCAUCCCCGCUAGUAUAUAAGACGUGAAGCUGAUCCGUUGAUCAGAUCUGUGCACCCACUUGGAUGUUGGGCAGCUAGGCUGUGUCUUUGAAANNNNNNNNNNNNNNNNNNNNNNNNNNNNNNNNNNNNNNNNNNNNNNNNNNNNNNNNNNNNNNNNNNNNNNNNNNNNNNNNNNNNNNNNNNNNNNNNNNNNNNNNNNNNNNNNNNNNNNNNNNNNNNNNNNNNNNNNNNNNNNNNNNNNNNNNNNNNNNNNNNNNNNNNNNNNNNNNNNNNNNNNNNNNNNNNNNNNNNNNNNNNNNNNNNNNNNNNNNNNNNNNNNNNNNNNNNNNNNNNNNNNNNNNNNNNNNNNNNNNNNNNNNNNNNNNNNNNNNNNNNNNNNNNNNNNNNNNNNNNNNNNNNNNNNNNNNNNNNNNNNNNNNNNNNNNNNNNNNNNNNNNNNNNNNNNNNNNNNNNNNNNNNNNNNNNNNNNNNNNNNNNNNNNNNNNNNNNNNNNNNNNNNNNNNNNNNNNNNNNNNNNNNNNNNNNNNNNNNNNNNNNNNNNNNNNNNNNNNNNNNNNNNNNNNNNNNNNNNNNNNNNNNNNNNNNNAUAUGUUUGAUAACUUCUUAUGGUCAUUGUUUGUAGUGGGUGCUACAUGAUUGGAGUGAUGACGACUGUGUAAAGAUACUAAAACGCUGCAAGGAGGCUAUUCCAUCCAAAGAAGAAGGGGGGAAGGUGAUUAUUAUUGACAUGGUAGUCGACUUGGAUAUUGGCUUUCCUGAGUUGGGCGAAACACAGCUACUCUUUGACCUAGAGAUGAUGGUCCAGACCACAGGUAAGGAAAGGAAUGAAUGUGAAUGGAAAAAAAUUUUCAUGGAUGCAGGUUUUACCGACUACAAAAUCAUACCAGCAUUAGGUUUGCGAUCGAUUAUCGAGGUUUAUCAUUGACUACUGAAUAGAUAAGGAAAACCAUCUAUACUGGUGGCCAUGAAUUGAUCAGUUUGCUGCUUCCUU